rnacentral:rRNA from 1 species
UACGUAGGGUGCGAGCGUUAAUCGGAAUUACUGGGCGUAAAGCGUGCGCAGGCGGUCUGUUAAGACCGAUGUGAAAUCCCCGGGCUUAACCUGGGAACUGCAUUGGUGACUGGCAGGCUUUGAGUGUGGCAGAGGGAGGUAGAAUUCCACGUGUAGCAGCGAAAUGCGUAGAGAUGUGGAGGAAUACCGAUGGCGAAGGCAGCCUCCUGGGCCAACACUGACGCUCAUGCACGAAAGCGUGGGGAGCAAACAGG